GUUUACUAUGGCCGAUGAUCUGGAGCAGCAGUCUCAAGGCUGGCUGAGUAGCUGGCUGCCCACGUGGCGCCCCACUUCCAUGUCUCAGCUGAAGAAUGUGGAAGCCAGGAUCCUCCAGUGUCUCCAGAAUAAGUUCCUGGCCAGAUAUGUAUCCCUCCCAAACCAGAAUAAGAUCUGGACGGUGACUGUGAGCCCCGAGCAAAACGACCGCACCCCCUUGGUGAUGGUGCAUGGUUUUGGGGGCGGCGUGGGUCUCUGGAUCCUCAACAUGGACUCACUGAGUGCCCGCCGCACACUGCACACCUUCGAUCUGCUUGGCUUCGGGCGAAGCUCAAGGCCAGCAUUCCCAAGGGACCCGGAGGGGGCUGAGGAUGAGUUUGUGACAUCGAUAGAGACAUGGCGGGAGACCAUGGGGAUCCCCAGCAUGAUCCUCCUGGGGCACAGUUUGGGAGGAUUCCUGGCCACUUCUUACUCAAUCAAGUACCCUGAUAGGUAAUAAGGAGAUGGCUCUAUCCCUCGUGACCUAAUUCCUGGCCUUACUGGGAACUUUCCAGUAUUCAUUUCCAAACUUCUCUCAUUCCCAGGCGAUUUAAGGGGCUAUGGCAACUACCAGAGAAUAUAAUGUGUCUUCUCCUCUUUCCGCCUUUAACAUAGAGUUAAACACCUCAUCCUGGUGGACCCAUGGGGCUUUCCCCUCCGACCAACUAACCCCAGUGAGAUCCGUGCACCCCCAGCCUGGGUCAAAGCCGUGGCAUCUGUCCUAGGACGUUCCAAUCCAUUGGCUGUUCUUCGAGUAGCUGGGCCCUGGGGUGAGUAGCCUGUAGUAUCUCCUUAAAGGAAGGCUAUAAUGUUCUAGAAGGCCCACAGUGUCUUUCCCACUUAUUCCUAAAAAGUGGAAAUUGGCCUAGCCUUGUUAUUUAAAGCUGUUAAUCUGAACCAGAUCACUUUGUUCAAGGUUUGAGAAGGUUUUUCGUUUUUUUGUUUUA
rnacentral:sRNA from 1 species